GGGCACGAAGCUUAUCUCCUUGCGUAACCGAGUGCAUUUCUUCUUCAUCAUCACUGUACUGUAAAUAAAUGCGCAAGGUACCGUGCAGACAACACUAGCUGGCUGUAACCCUGGUUAAAGGAUUAAGAGUGGUUCAUCAGACUUCACAAUCCCUGCCCCAGCCCUUCCCUGCUUCGUUCAGGUCCCCAAAUAACCCAGUUUUUGAUACGGUAUACCACAAGAAAUUCUUAUUGAAAGAUCCAGGAGAGCAAAUGGACUGAUAGGAAAAGACAAACGGAAGAAACUACAUCACCUACAAACACUGAAAACAUAAAUGAAAAUGCCAUUAAUGAUUCAUGAUCUUCAUGAAAUGAAGGAACACCACAUUCAGAUUCAUUUUCUGAAAACAUUCUAGAUACAACAGGGUAUGAAUAGUGCAGCUCUUUGGAUGGAAAUCUUGCUCAAGCUGAACUUCCACUCAGCUGGAGAAGAAUUCUGGACACACCAUGCGACUUUCAGAAACUGCAAACCAAGCCACACUGUACAGAGCAGCUUAUAUCCCUUUGAAGAUUGGAGAAAGAAGGAUCCAAAACAUAUUGUCUACAAAAGAAAUAUCAUCUGUGAGAGAAAGCUCACCCCUCACCCUGGAAGUGCACAUUGCCCCUUCUGUGCCACUGCGCCCAUGUGCCAGGAGGUAAUGAUUGGCUCACUGAUGUACCCCUUCGUGUCCAAGGAAACCCAGGAUUUCCUUGAACAGAGUUUGGUUUAUUACAUGGUUCCCAUUCUUUUCCCUUCAUUAAUACUGAUGCAUAUGGGAUUACGCUUUCUGUCAUUCAGGGUUUAUUCUAGAAGGAUGCUGUGGUCUGGUGCCAUGGAUAUGUGUCAAAGCUAUUCCGCCUUCCCAAGUCUACACCUGUGUGCUUUGUGGGUUAUGCUUUUCGUUAUGCUCACUUUACGUUUUUGUAUUUGAAAUGUGCCAACAAAAAUAAAUUAAAAGUAAAAACACAA